AAGAAAGUAAUAAAGGGCGUAUGGGGGAUGCCUAGGCUCUUGGAGGCGAAGAAAGACGUGGUAAGCUGCGAUAAGCCUCGGGGAUUUGCAAACGAGAAUUGAUCCGAGGAUUUCUGAAUGGGACAACCCGGCAGGCAGAAGGCCUGUCACACGA
rnacentral:rRNA from 1 species